rnacentral:rRNA from 1 species
GACGAACGCUGGCGGCGUGCUUAACACAUGCAAGUCGAACGGUAAGGCUCCAGCUUGCUGGGGUACACGAGUGGCGAACGGGUGAGUAACACGUGGGUGACCUGCCCUGCACUUCGGGAUAAGCCUGGGAAACUGGGUCUAAUACCGGAUAGGACCAUGGUGUGGAUACUGUGGUGGAAAGUUUUUUCGGUGUGGGAUGGGCCCGCGGCCUAUCAGCUUGUUGGUGGGGUAAUGGCCUACCAAGGAGGCGACGGGUAGCCGGCCUGAGAGGGUGGCCGGCCACGUGGGGACUGGGACACGGCCCAGACUCCUACGGGAGGCAGCAGUGGGGAAUGUUGCACAAUGGGCGGAAGCCUGAUGCAGCGACGCCGCGUGGGGGAUGACGGCCUUCGGGUUGUAAACUCCUUUCACCAUCGACGAAGGGUUUCUGACGGUAGAUGGAGAAGAAGCACCGGCUAACUACGUG